UCCCUGAGGGGUCCAGUGGCUAAGACUGAAUACUCCCAGUGCGUGCAAGGGGCCCAGGUUCGAUCCCUGGUCAGAGAA
rnacentral:tRNA from 1 species